AUGACAAAGGGAACGUCAUCGUUUGGAAAACGUCGCAAUAAGACGCACACGCUGUGCCGCCGCUGUGGCUCUAAGGCCUACCACCUGUGGCAAAUGUGGCUACCCUGCCGAGCUCAAGAGAAAGUAAAACUGGAGUGCCAAAGCCAAAAGACGAAAUACCACCGGGACUGGUCGGAUGAGGCACCUAAAAAUUGUAUACCGCAGAUUCAGGCAUGGAUUCCGUGAAGGAACAACACCUAAACCCAAGAGGGCAGCUGUUGUGGCAUCCAGUUCUUCUUAAGAAUUUCAACAAUUAGUCACACAAUAAAUGCUUUGGUUUAAAAAAAAAA